GAUGAACGCUGUCUACAGGCUUAACACAUGCAAGUCGAGGGGAAACGCCGGGGAAGCUUGCUUCCCCGGGCUUCGACCGGCGCACGGGUGAGUAACGCGUAUCCAACCUGCCUCUGACUGAGGGAUAACCCGUCGAAAGUCGGCCUAAUACCUCAUGGCAUCGUCUUCGGGCAUCCAACGACGAUUAAAGGUUUCAUCGGUCAGGGAUGGGGAUGCGUCUUGUUAGCUUGUUGGCGGGGUAACGGCCCACCAAGGCUACGAUCAGUAGGGGCUCUGAGAGGAAGGGCCUCAACAUUGGAACUGAGACAUGGUCCCAGCUCCUACGGGAGGAAGCAGUGAGGAAUAAUGGUCAAGGAGCGGGAGCCUGAACCAGCCAAGUAGAGUGCAGGAUGACGGGCCUAUGGGUUGUAAACUGCUUUUAUGAGGGGAUAAAGUGAGGGACGUGUCGUUCAUUGCAGGUACCGCAUGAAUAAGGACCGGCUAAUUCCGU
rnacentral:rRNA from 1 species